rnacentral:rRNA from 1 species
ACUCCUACGGGAGGCAGCAGUGGGGAAUAUUGCACAAUGGGGGAAACCCUGAUGCAGCCAUGCCGCGUGUGUGAAGAAGGCCUUGGGUUGUAAAGCACUUUCAGUAGGGAGGAAGGUAGUGUAGUUAACACCUGCAUUAUUUGACGUUACCUACAGAAGAAGCACCGGCUAACUCCGUGCCAGCAGCCGCGGUAAUACGGAGGGUGCGAGCGUUAAUCGGAAUUACUGGGCGUAAAGCGCAUGCAGGCGGCCUGUUAAGUCAGAUGUGAAAGCCCGGGGUCUUAACCUCGGAAUUGCAUUUGAAACUGGCAGGCUAGAGUCUUGUAGAGGGGUAGAAUUUCAGGUGUAGCGGUGAAAUGCGUAGAGAUCUGAAGGAAUACCAGUGGCGAAGGCGGCCCCUGGACAAAGACUGACGCUCAGAUGCGAAAGCGUGGGAGCAAACAGGAUUAGAUACCCCGUGGUAGACUGUCA